CCUCAUGUGCCUGUUGUGGACAGAUGAAGUGGAUGUGGGUGUCGAAACCGCCCGCGGUGACAAUCUUAUGCUCGGCUGCAAUCACAUCUGUGCAGGAUCCAACGACCAUGUUGGGAUCGACACCUUGCAUGACAUCUGGGUUACCAGCUUUGCCGAUGCCAACAACGAUGCCGUCCUUGAUGCCAAUGUCAGCUUUGUAGAUGCCGGACCAGUCGACAAUCAGAGCGUUUGUAAUGACAGUAUCGAGGACUUCGUUGUCAGAUCGGCCUCCAGCCUGACCCAUUCCUUCUCUAAG
rnacentral:sRNA from 1 species